GACGAACGCUGGCGGCGUGCUUAACACAUGCAAGUCGAACGGUAAGGCCCUUCGGGGUACACGAGUGGCGAACGGGUGAGUAACACGUGGGUGAUCUGCCCUGCACUUCGGGAUAAGCCUGGGAAACUGGGUCUAAUACCGGAUAGGACCACUGCCUGCAUGGGUGGUGGUGGAAAGCUUUUGCGGUGUGGGAUGGGCCCGCGGCCUAUCAGCUUGUUGGGGGGGUGAUGGCCUACCAAGGCGACGACGGGUAGCCGGCCUGAGAGGGUGACCGGCCACACUGGGACUGAGAUAUGGCCCAGACUCCUACGGGAGGCAGCAGUGGGGAAUAUUGCACAAUGGGCGCAAGCCUGAUGCAGCGACGCCGCGUGAGGGGUGACGGCCUUCGGGUUGUAAACCUCUUGCAGCACCGACGAAGCGCAAGUGACGGUAGGUGCAGAAGAAGGACCGGCCAAUCACGUGCCAGCCGCCGCAGUAA
rnacentral:rRNA from 1 species